rnacentral:tRNA from 1 species
UCCUUAUGAGUUUGAAAAAAUAAUGAUUUUGUAAAUCAUAGAUUUAAGAGGAU